CUAUGAGAUGGGCCCGCGGCGCAUUAGCUAGUUGGUGAGGUAAAGGCUCACCAAGGCGACGAUGCGUAGCCGACCUGAGAGGGUGAUCGGCCACAUUGGAACUGAGACACGGUCCAGACUCCUACGGGAGGCAGCAGUGGGGAAUAUUGCACAAUGGGCGAAAGCCUGAUGCAGCAACGCCGCGUGAGUGAUGACGGCCUUCGGGUUGUAAAGCUCUGUCUUUGGGGACGAUAAUGACGGUACCCAAGGAGGAAGCCACGGCUAACUACGUGCCAGCAGCCGCGGUAAUACGUAGGUGGCAAGCGUUGUCCGGAUUUACUGGGCGUAAAGGGUGCGUAGGCGGACCUUUAAGUGAGAUGUGAAAUCCCCGAGCUUAACUUGGGGGCUGCAUUUCAAACUGGAGGUCUAGAGUGCAGGAGAGGAGAGUGGAAUUCCUAGUGUAGCGGUGAAAUGCGUAGAG
rnacentral:rRNA from 1 species